rnacentral:rRNA from 1 species
GACGUAGGGCGCGAGCGUUGUCCGGAUUUAUUGGGCGUAAAGAGCUCGUAGGCGGCUUGUCGCGUCGGCUGUGAAAUCCCGUGGCUCAACUGCGGGUCUGCAGCCGAUACGGGCAGGCUAGAGUUCGGUAGGGGAGACUGGAAUUCCUGGUGUAGCGGUGAAAUGCGCAGAUAUCGGGAAGAACACCUAUGGCGAAGGCAGCUCUCUGGGACGGUACUGACGCUGAGACGCGAAAGCGUGGGGAGCGAACAGG